rnacentral:rRNA from 1 species
CCUACGGGAGGCAGCAGUGGGGGAUAUUGCACAAUGGGGGGAACCCUGAUGCAGCGACGCCGCGUGGGUGAAGGAGCGUUUCGGCGCGUAAAGCCCUAUCGGCAGGGAAGAAGAUGACGGUACCUGACCAAGAAGCGCCGGCUAACUACGUGCCAGCAGCCGCGGGAAUACGUAGGGGGAAAGCGUUAUCCGGAUUUACUGGGUGUAACGGGGGUGCAGACGGCCAUGCAAGCCAGGAGUGAAAGCCCGGGGCCCAACCCCGGGACUGCACUUGGAACUGAAUGGCUGGAGUACAGGAGGGGAAAGCGGAAUUCCUAGUGUAGCGGUGAAAUGCGUAGAUAUUAGGAAGAACACCGGUGGCGAAGGCGGCCUUCUGGACUGUGACUGACGUUGAGGCCCGAAGGCGUGGGGAGCAAACAGGAUUAGAUACCCGUGUAGUC